rnacentral:misc_RNA from 1 species
GAUGAAGAACGCAGCGAAAUGCGAUAAGUAGUGUGAAUUGCAGAAUUCAGUGAAUCAUCGAAUCUUUGAACGCACAUUGCGCCCCUCGGUAUUCCGUGGGGCAUGCCUGUUCGAGCGUCAUUUACCCCUCAAGCACUGCUUGGUGUUGGGCGUCUGUCCCGCUUCGCGCGCGGACUCGCCCCAAAGGUAUUGGCAGCGGUCGUGCCAGCUUCUCGCGCAGCACAUUGCGCUUCUCGAGGCGAUCGAUCGGCGUCCACGAAGCUCACCUCCACCGUUUGACCUCGGAUCAGGUAGGGAUACCCGCUGAACUUAAGCAUAUCAAUAAGCGGAGGA